CGGGCCGUGUACUCCCAGAUCGCGUCCGCGUCGAGCAGCGCCUGCUCGCCGAGGUAGGCCCCGUCGGCGAGGACACCCAGGGACUCGUCCUCCCCGUACGGACCCGUGCCGAUCUUCUCCACCCUGCCGUGCGCCAGCAGGUACACCUCGUCGGUCUGGCUGCCGAACGAAGCGAUCACGUUCCCCGCCGCGAACUCCCGCUGCUGGCAGCGCUGGGCGAGCUCGGAGAGCACCUCUUCGUCCUCGUACGACCGCAGCGCGGGCAGUUCGGUCAGCUCGGCGGGGAUCACCUCGACCCGGUCGCCGGUCUUCACGAACGUGAUACGGCCGUCCCCCACGGCGUAGGUCAGACGCCGGUUCACCCGGUACGUGCCGCCCUGCACAUUCACCCAUGGCAGCAUGCGCAGCAGCCAGCGAGAGCUGAUCUCCUGCAUCUGGGGUGCGGACUUGGUCGUGGUGGCCAGGUUCCGCGCGGCCGCCGUGCCGAGACUCUGCUGCGGCUUGU
rfam:Streptomyces regalis strain NRRL 3151 P010contig36.1, whole genome shotgun sequence.